rnacentral:rRNA from 1 species
AAUGAACGUUGGCGGCGUGGAUUAGGCAUGCAAGUCGAGCGAGAACCCUCCGCAAGGAGGGGGACAGCGGCGAAAGGGAGAGUAACGCGUGGAUUAUUUGCCCCCGGGACCGGGCUAGCCGCGGGCAACUGCGGGUAAUACCGGAUGACGUCUCCGGACCAAAUGGUGUGAUUCCGCCAGGGGAUAAGUCCGCGUCCUAUUAGCUAGUUGGUGGGGUAAUGGCCUACCAAGGCAAUGAUGGGGACUGGGUGUGAGAGCACGACCCAGCUCACUGGGACUGAGACACUGCCCAGACACCUACGGGUGGCUGCAGUCGAGGAUCUUCGGCAAUGGGCGCAAGCCUGACCGGGCGACGCCGCGUGUGGGAUGAAGGCCUUCGGGUUGUAAACCGCUGUCAGUGGGGAGGAAAUGUCUAGGGGUUCUCCCCUAGAUUUGACCUAUCCGCAGAGGAAGUCAGGGCUAAGUUCGUGCCAGCCGCCGCGGUAA